rnacentral:rRNA from 1 species
AACUCCCAACCCCUGUGACAUACCACUUGUUGCCUCGGCGGAUCAGCCCGCUCCCGGUAAAACGGGACGGCCCGCCAGAGGACCCCUAAACUCUGUUUCUAUAUGUAACUUCUGAGUAAAACCAUAAAUAAAUCAAAACUUUCAACAACGGAUCUCUUGGUUCUGGCAUCGAUGAAGAACGCAGCAAAAUGCGAUAAGUAAUGUGAAUUGCAGAAUUCAGUGAAUCAUCGAAUCUUUGAACGCACAUUGCGCCCGCCAGUAUUCUGGCGGGCAUGCCUGUUCGAGCGUCAUUUCAACCCUCAAGCACAGCUUGGUGUUGGGACUCGCGUUAAUUCGCGUUCCCCAAAUUGAUUGGCGGUCACGUCGAGCUUCCAUAGCGUAGUAGUAAAACCCUCGUUACUGGUAAUCGUCGCGGCCACGCCGUUAAACCCCAACUUCUGAAUGUUGACCUCGGAUCAGGUAGGAAUACCCGCUGAACUUAAGCAUAUCAAUAAGCGGGGGGA